AGUAUCAUAUCCUAGCUGGCGUCGACAAAGAUGUAGGCGAAGCAAGAGAGAGAAGCACAGCGUCGAAGUCAGGGUGGUGGAGGAGGAGAAAGGAGAGUAAGCGGGAGGAAAUAAAGAGAAAGAAGCGGUGAUGAUGAUGAAAACAAAACAGAAGGAAGAGAGAAAGAGAGAGAGAGAGAGAGAGAGAGAGAGAGAAAAAGAUGAGUAAAGAUAUUUUGAUCAGUUUACUAAAAUUUCAGACCAAAUCUGCAAAAUCUAAAGAAAAGGGUUUAAGUCAAAACUGGUGAAGUUUUUAAUGCAAAAAGGUCAAUAUAAAAAUAUAUAAAACUUAUAUGGAAUGUUGACCAUUUUGAUUCGAUUAUCCGACCUUUAAAAAUUUUGAAUUUAAUAUCCAACCUUUUAAUUUGUUUGAUUUAAGUAAUUUAAUCAUACUUUAGAUACAAAAUUUAAGCUAGUUACAUACUUUAAUAAAUUUAUAGUUACAUGAUUAUAUAAAAUAUAUUAACCAAUCCCAUAAAAAUAAACAACGUAUUUAAAUUUUAAAAUCAAAGAAUCACUAACAAGCUCAAAUUAAAUAAAUUAAAAAAAUAAAUAAUUAAAUUAAAUUUUUAAAAAAUAGAUAAUUAUAUAAAAAUAGGUGACAGUUGAGAUAAAUUUUACACAUCUAUCUAUUAGGUAAUAUUUCAAAGUCACCUAUUGUUGAGAUAUUUGAUAAAUUCACGAAUAUUACGUUGCGAAAGAAUUGGCGGGUGCGGAUAUUACUACUUUAGGAAAAAUAAUUUACGUGUCAAGCUCAAAUAUAGAUUUUCUACUUUAGAAAAAUAAAAUUAGAUUUUUUAAAGAAAUAAUACUUUAG
rnacentral:lncRNA from 1 species